rnacentral:rRNA from 1 species
CAGUAGCCACGGGAAUACGAAGGGGGCUAGCGUUGUUCGGAAUUACUGGGCGUAAAGCGCACGUAGGCGGAUAUUUAAGUCAGGGGUGAAAUCCCGCAGCUCAACUGCGGAACUGCCUUUGAUACUGGGUAUCUUGAGUAUGGAAGAGGUUAGUGGAAUUGCGAGUGUAGAGGUGAAAUUCGUAGAUAUUCGCAGGAACACCAGUGGCGAAGGCGGCUAACUGGUCCAUAACUGACGCUGAGGUGCGAAAGCGUGGGGAGCAAACAGGAUUAGAUACCCCAGUAGUCCCUGUCUCUUAUAC